rnacentral:rRNA from 1 species
GCGAAUUCGCCCUUCCCUACGGGGUGCAGCAGGCGCGAAACCUUUACAAUGCACGCAAGUGUGAUAAGGGAACCCCAAGUGCUUAUGCUUUGCAUAGGCUUUUGCUAAAGGUAAAUACUUUAGCGAAUAAGUGGUGGGUAAGACCGGUGCCAGCCGCCGCGGUAACACCGGCGCCACGAGUGGCAAUCACUUUUAUUGGGCCUAAAGCGUCCGUAGCUGGUUUUGUAAGUCUCUUGUGAAAUCGUCAAGCUUAACUUGACGGCGUGCUUGAGAUACUGCAAGACUUGGAACCGGGAGGAGUCAGAGGUAUUCUGAGGGGAGCGGUAAAAUGCUAUAAUCCUCAGAGGACCACCUGUGGCAAAGGCGUCUGACUAGAACGGGUUCGACAGUGAGGGACGAAAGCUAGGGGAGCGAUCCGGAUUAGAUACCCGAGUAGUCCUAGCCGUAAACUCUGCGAGCUAGGCGUUACAGAUUUUACGUGAAUCUGUAGUGUCGUAGCGAAGGCGUUUAGCUCGCCGCCUGGGAAGUAUGGUCGCAAGGCUGAAACUUAAAGGAAUUGGCGGGGAGGCACUACAACGAGUGGAAUGUGCGGUUUAAUCUAAUUCAACGCAGAGAAUCUCACCAGGGGCGACGCAGGAUGAAAGUCACGCUAACGGUCUUACUUACAGCCGAGAAGUAGUGCAU